UGCUAGGAAGCUAAACAGGGUG
rnacentral:piRNA from 1 species